rfam:Robinsoniella sp. RHS robin_c65, whole genome shotgun sequence.
ACAGUACAAACUGAGCAGGCGAUAAACCAUCUAAUGCCGCCCGAGUAAAUAGGCCACUAUAACACCUGACGCAGACAUCAGGCACUAUAUCGGCAUAUUUACAACCGGUGGCACUGGUUUGUGGGGCCGGGCCGCUAAGCGGCAGCAGAUGGGUAUGAAACACAUCUGUGGGACAGUA